rnacentral:rRNA from 1 species
CAAUGUCCAGCUACCACCCUGAAUGCACCUGAUCUUGUCUGAUCUUGGAAGCUAAGCAGGGUCGGGCCUGGUUAAUAAUUGGAUAGGUUAUACCAUUCUUAAGUAGACCCAAAGAAUACAACAUCACCCCACCCCUGGAAUACUUGUUUAUUGC